rnacentral:tRNA from 1 species
GGGCUCUUAGCUCAGCAAGGAUUAGAGCACCGGGCUUUUAACCCGGGGGUCGCGGGUUCAAAUCCCGCAGAGCCCACCA